rnacentral:rRNA from 1 species
AUUGAACGCUGGCGGCAGGCCUAACACAUGCAAGUCGAGCGGGAACUUCGGUUCUAGCGGCGCACGGGUGAGUAAUACAUCGGAACGUGCCCAGCCGUGGGGGAUAACUCCUCGAAAGAGUAGCUAAUACCGCAUGCGAACUGAGGUUGAAAGCAGGGGAUCGCAAGACCUUGCGCAACUCGCGCGUCCGAUGGCAGAUCAGGUGGUUGGUGGGAUAAAAGAUGACCAAGCCGACGAUCUGUAGCUGGUCUGAGAGGACGACCAGCCACACUGGGACUGAGACACGGCCCAGACGCCUACGGGAGGCAGCAGUGGGGAAUUUUGGACAAUGGGCGAAAGCCUGAUCCAGCAAUGCCGCGUGCAGGAUGAGGGCCUUCGGGUUGUAAACUGCUUUUGUACGGAACGAAAAGCUUCGGGUUAUUACCCUGGAGUCAUGACGGUACCGUAAGAAUAAGCACCGGCUAACUACGUGCCAGCCGCCGCGGUAACAC